GGAGAGUACCCGGAGAAAAAGCAUCGGCUAACUCCGUGCCAGCAGCCGCGGUAAUACGGAGGAUGCGAGCGUUAUCCGGAUUUAUUGGGUUUAAAGGGUGCGUAGGCGGGCUUUUAAGUCAGCGGUAAAAAUUCGGGGCUCAACCCCGUCCGGCCGUUGAAACUGGGGGCCUUGAGUGGGCGAGAAGAAGGCGGAAUGCGUGGUGUAGCGGUGAAAUGCAUAGAUAUCACGCAGAACCCCGAUUGCGAAGGCAGCCUUCCGGCGCCCUACUGACGCUGAGGCACGAAAGUGCGG
rnacentral:rRNA from 1 species